rnacentral:ncRNA from 1 species
AGGAGCCGUGUGAGAUGAAAGUCUCACGCACGGUUUUGAAUGGGAGGGGAUGGAGGCGACUCCAU